ACCUUCGCAAUGCGCGAAAGCGUGACGAGGUUAGUCCGAGUGGCUCCCGCUGAGGGGGUCUUUUGCCAGCUGUAAAAAGGCUGGAGAAUAAGGGGAGGGCAAGCCUGGUGUCAGCCGCCGCGGUAAUACCAGCUCCUCGAGUGGUCGGGGCGAUUAUUGGGCCUAAAGCAUCCGUAGCCGGUUCGGUAGGUCCCCUGCUAAAUCCAAUGGCUCAACUAUUGGCCUGCAGGGGAUACCGCCGGACUAGGAGGCGGGAGAGGAGGACGGUACUCCGCAGGUAGGGGUAAAAUCCUUUGAUCUGCGGAAGACCACCAGUGGCGAAGGCGGUCCUCCAGAACGCGCUCGACGGUGAGGGAUGAAAGCUGGGGGGGCGAACCGGAUUAGAUACCCGGGUAGUCCCAGCCGUAAACGAUGCGAGCUAGAUGAUCCGGUCGCAAAUCGCGCUCGGAGUGUCGCAGGGAAGCCGUUAAGCUCGCCGCCUGGGGAGUACGGUCGCAAGGCUGAAACUUAA
rnacentral:rRNA from 2 species